UUGAGGUUGUUCAUCGUUAAAGUACCAGUCUAAGGAGCUUGGAAAGAUGAGCUUCUAGAACUUGUAUGUGAGGAGCAGGAGCUCCCUGAAGGAGAACCCCGGCCACGUCGUCAUUUUUUUGAGGUUGUCCGUCGUCAAUGUACCAGUCUAAGGAGCUUGGAAAGAUGAGCUUCUAGAACUUGUAUGUAAGGAGCAGGAGCUCCCUGAAGGAGAACCCCGGCCACUUCGUCAUCUUCCCCUUGGAUGUCGUACCGCCACAUCUGGCAGAUGUACAAGGAUCAGUCUGGACAGCGGAGGUGGUAGCAGGAGCUGCGGCGGUAUUUGUCCUGCAGGUGUCUUGAGCGGCUUGCCAGAUGCUUUGCGGGUGCCGGCCCCGUGCGAGUGUCUUGAGCGGCUUGCCAGAUGCUUUGCCGGUUGCAGCAGAAGAGCAGCAGCUCACUGAAGGAGAAGCCCGGUCACGUUGUCAUCUUCCCCAUCGAUGUCGUACCGCCACAUCUGGCAGAUGUGCAAGAAGUCAGAGGUCCUCUUCUGGACAGCAGAGGAGGCCAGAGUGAAGAAGAAAAGCAGCAGCUCGCUGACGGAGAACCCUGGCCACGUCGUCAUCUUCCCCUUGGAUGUCGUAUCGCCACAUCUGCGAGAUGUACAAGAAGACUGAUGCAUACGUCGGGACAACGGAAGAGACUCUGACACGAGGGGCAUGGAGAAACCUGUUUUUUUUGUUGUUUUUUUGAGGUUGUUCAUCGUUAAAGUACCAGUCUAAGGAGCUUGGAAAGAUGAGCUUCUAGAACUUGUAUGUAAGGAGCAGGAGCUCCCUGAAGGAGAACCCCGGCCACUUCGUCAUCUUCCCCUUGGAUGUCGUACCGCCACAUCUGGCAGAUGUACAAGGAUCAGUCUGGACAGCGGAGGUGGUAGCAGGAGCUGCGGCGGUAUUUGUCCUGCAGGUGUCUUGAGCGGCUUGCCAGAUGC